AUGGAAAAGAAGGAGAAGAAGUCAGUGAUUCAAAGAGUGAAAAGGACGCUUCGGCAGAGGAGCAAAAGUACGGACGCUAGCAGUGAACAGAAGAAAGGGACGAAGACUGUUGACGACGCGGAAGCUCCCUCGAAAAUUACCAGAGUGAAGGCGGCAAUCACGAAUCGUACAAGAUCCAUAGGAAUCAAGAUCUCAAUUUCGAAAGAGUGCAAUACGACAACUAGCAAAGGUAGUUCUCGGGAGUCGGAUCAAAAGACGAAAAACUCCGUUCUGAGUUCAGUAGACAUGGAAGAGGACCCAGAAGCACCUGUGCAGACCCCGGAUUUGAUGAUGAUUGAGAUCAAGAAGGAAGAGCUGAAAGAGAAGAAAGAGAAGGAGAAGAAAGAUGAAGAGAAACGGGAGAGACAGGAGGAUAGGAAAGAGGAGAGAAAAGAGAAUAAGAGAGAAGAUAAGAAAGAAGAAAAGAAAGAAGAAAAGAAAGAAGAAAAGAAAGAAGUGAGGAAGGACUGCCGGGAAAAUUCGGUGUAUUUCAUGGAAAGGUCGGAUGAGAAGGGGGUGAAGAAGAAGCACUCGAAGAAGCACUCGAAGCAGAAAACAAAGAUGUGGCUGGGAAUGCCUUCUGCGCUCAACUUCUGCAACAAGAACAAUGACAUCCAAAAGAUUCGAGAAGAAUUUGGGUUCCUCGACUCGCUUGUCUGCAACAAGACCACUGAAGCUUUUGAAGCAAACAAAGUUCGAAAUCGUGAAGGGUGUCCGAAGAUCUACGAUGAAAAUCGGGUUCAACUGAAUCGUCCAGGACACGAGGAUGUCAACUACAUCAACGCCAGUGUCAUCACCUUGACAGAUUUCGAGCACAAGCUAAUCGUCGCCCAACUUCCCCAGAUGGAAAACGAAAGUUUCGUGGAAGACUUUUGGUACAUGAUCUACCAGGAACAGAUACAUCUUGUCUACUUGAUGGUCCCGGAUGACAAGCUGAAGAACACCACGACUUCUUUGUUCAACGACGAGAAUGGUGGCUAUCAGUACACUGGAAAGAUGUUUAUCAACAAUCGGCGUGCCGACGUUUCUGGAGAUCCAAAGGAAUAUACGAUUGAAGUAUUGCCCGAAGGAAAUUCAGAUUCUGUCAUAUGCCAGGUAUGGUCUCAAGAACAUAACAUGAACAGGAAAAAUUAAAUUUAGGUUCAUCAUCAUGCUCCAUGGAAGCAUCUGCAGCAACCACCAAAAACUCUUCCGAUCAUCAAAAUGAUUCACCAAUUUCUUUCGGAGAAGCAGGUGCAAAACGCUGGAGUCUGCGUGGUCAGCUUGUUCGGAUGCGGUCGUGCGUGCAGCUUCAUUGGUGCUCUCUACGCAAUCAACCAGCUCAAUAAUGGAAUUGAGCCCAAUAUUUGCGAGAUCAUGAAGAAUAUCAAACAGCAGCGUCCAGGAGGAGUCGAAUCUUUUGCUCAAUACGCCAGUAUUUAUGCAAUUGUGUUUGACUACAUUGCGCGCAAACGUGGCGGAAAGAAGGCUCCCGUAAACAAGGACAUCAAUCGAUUCAUUGAUGAGCUCGCCGAGAUCUCCCCAGCAUGCUCCCCGACAAAAGUGAUGCCUUUGAGCACUGAGCUAUAG
rnacentral:misc_RNA from 1 species